UGGAGGAAAACUUGUUCUCUGCUCCUUGAAGGGGAGCUGCUAACUGUGCAUUUUAUCUGAUGACAUGCACUGGGCCACAGAGAGAAAUGGACAGAAAUCUGUAUUUCAGAUAGCUUUCUCUUCUGGGAGUGACGCCUAUUAUUCUACCAUACCACUGUUACACCACUAAUAAACCAUCCCCUCCGUUGUUGGUCAUUUGCCCCCUGGAGAGUGGAGAGCCCAUCCACAGACUCUGCUGAAGUAGGUAACAUGAUAUCUUUAUUGGGCCAAUAUAUCAUUGACAGUAAACAAGUGUUGGGGCUGGAAAGGACUGGUGUCACAUAUCCCUUGUCUACUUUGUUCUCCGAAAUCAAUGGGGGACUGAAUGUCGACCUGCCAAAGGGACAUCCAGGGACAGAGGU